GACGAACGCUGGCGGCGUGCCUAAUACAUGCAAGUAGGACGCAGUUGCGAACGGGUGAGUAACGCGUAGGUAACUGCCUAUUAGAGGGGGAUAACUAUUGGAAACGAUAGCUAAUACCGCAUACUAGUAGAUGGACCUGCGUUGUAUUAGCUAGUAGGUAGGGUAAUGGCCUACCUAGGGGACGAGACAUAGCCGACCUGUGAGGGUAGUCGGCCACAAUUGGACUGAGACACGGCCCAGACUCCUACGGGAGGCAGCAGUAGGGAAUCUUCGGCAAUGGGGGGAACCCUGACCGGGCAACGGCGCGUGAGUGAAGAAGGUUUUCGGAUCGGAAAGCUCUGUUGUUAAGGAAGCGGUACUUAACCAGAAAGGGACGGCUAACUACGUGCCAGCAGACGCGGUAAUAC
rnacentral:rRNA from 1 species